rnacentral:lncRNA from 1 species
UCGACGGAAAAAGCUUGAACAGAACCGGCUUGAAAUUCCUUUUUCCGUAAAAAGAAAUCUUCGAAUUUACAGAAAAGUUUAUGUACAGAACUUGGAAAUGAAAACUAGGGGUAGAAACGCCUUAGCUGUUCUAUGUUCCAAGCAUUGCCGAAGAUCUGCCCGUCGGGGGUCGCUAGCUUGUAGGUGCCCGGCCGUAGUACUUGCGCGACGAUGAAAUGACCUUCCCACGGGGGAGUCAGCUUGUGCCGACCCCUGUUAUCCUGGACGAGGCGGAGCACCAAGUCGCCAACGUUGAAGGCUCGGCCUUGCACCUUGCGGCUGUGGUAACGUCGUAGGGCCUGCUGGUAUUUGGCCGAGUGGAGCAGGGCCAUGUCGCGC